rnacentral:RNase_P_RNA from 1 species
GAGGAAAGUCCGGGCUCUAUUUAUGAAGAUAUAGUUGUAUAAAAUACAAUGUAGGAAACUAUGAGGAUCGUGCCACAGAAAUAUACCGCCUAUUUUUAGGUAAGGGUGCAAUGGUUCGGUAAGAGCGUACCAGGAAUAUUGUUAAGAUAUUUGCUAGGUAAACCCCAUAUUAGAGCAAAGUAAUAAGUAUAUUGUAAUGAGUUUAUAAGCGUUACUUAAUUCUAAAUUAUUAUACUUUUUAAUUUAUAUACUGCGUAAAGUAAUUUUAUUACUUUAGAUUAAUAAUUACCCUUUUCUGUAGAAAAAAUUACUUUUAUUUUUUGUAAUCUUUUGUUCUAACUAGUAAUUGACUACUAUGAGAAAGAACAAAACCCGGCUUAU